rnacentral:rRNA from 1 species
UACGGGGGGGGGCAAGCGUUGUUCGGAAUUACUGGGCGUAAAGGGCUCGUAGGCGGCCAACUAAGUCAGACGUGAAAUCCCCUCGGCUUAACCGAGGAACUGCGUCUGAUACUGGAUGGCUUGAAUCCGGGAGAGGGAUGUGGAAUUCCAGGUGUAGCGGUGAAAUGCGUAGAUAUCUGGAGGAACACCGGUGGCGAAGGCGGCAUCCUGGACCGGCAUUGACGCUGAGGAGCGAAAGCCAGGGGAGCAAACGGG